ACCGAAGUCCGGGAACGGGACGCUAAAAACCGCCACCAUUGCGUGAUUAGUUCGCGC
rnacentral:rRNA from 1 species